rnacentral:rRNA from 1 species
AGUGGGGAAUAUUGGACAAUGGGCGGAAGCCUGAUCCAGCAACGCCGCGUGAGGGAUGACGGCCUUCGGGUUGUAAACCUCUUUCAGCAGGGACGAAGCGCAAGUGACGGUACCUGCAGAAGAAGCACCGGCCAACUACGUGCCAGCAGCCGCGGUAAUACGUAGGGUGCGAGCGUUGUCCGGAAUUAUUGGGCGUAAAGGGCUCGUAGGCGGUUUGUCGCGUCGGGAGUGAAAACCAGGUGCUUAACACCUGUGCUUGCUUUCGAUACGGGCAGACUAGAGGUAUGCAGGGGAGAACGGAAUUCCUGGUGUAGCGGUGAAAUGCGCAGAUAUCAGGAGGAACACCGGUGGCGAAGGCGGUUCUCUGGGCAUGACCUGACGCUGAGGAGCGAAAGUGUGGGGAGCGAA